GUGCUUGCUUAGGCAGCACAUAUACUAAAAUUGGACCUAUACAGAGAAGAUUAGCAUGGCCCAUGCACAAGGAUGACACACAAAUUCAUGAAGCAUUCCAUACACUU
rnacentral:snRNA from 1 species